AAGAAAGGAAAAUAAGUCUAGUUUCAGGGAAAAUUAACGGAACUUAAUUCGGAGUUUCGUAUCUCCAGAUAUAAAUAAUUUAGUGACCGUUGCUCAGAAAGACAGCUUGUAGUGAACUUGAGAAUAUGUUGUAAACAUUGAUAAAACAAGUUAAUGAGUGCUUAUUGUUUUCAUAUGAACUUACUAAGCGAAAGCUUACCCCCUCUUCUUUCCCAUGUUUUCUAGAGUUUCCAGGUUAGCUCGGGUUGGAGGCCGUCAGAGAUAUUAUCACACUGUCAAGCUAACGCUAUUGGUGUAGUGAUUUCAAGUACUUUGAGCCUAUGGCAUGUAUAGGAGUUUAAAUAUUAGAGUACGUGAUAUGGC
rnacentral:lncRNA from 1 species